UCCCUGUGUCCAUUGUUAAGCACAAUUAUUGGCCUAAAAGAGGUUUUUAAUACCCAUUUUUAGGCUGCACUCCAGCUUAGGCAAUGCAGCAAGACUCCCGAUCUCUCUUCCUCUUUCUUUUCCUCUCUCUCUUUCUCUCUUUC